rnacentral:rRNA from 1 species
GACGAACGCUGGCGGCGUGCUUAACACAUGCAAGUCGAACGGAAAGGCCCUGCUUUUGUGGGGUGCUCGAGUGGCGAACGGGUGAGUAACACGUGAGUAACCUGCCCUUGACUUUGGGAUAACUUCAGGAAACUGGGGCUAAUACCGGAUAGGAGCUCCUGCUGCACGGUGGGGGUUGGAAAGUUUCGGCGGUUGGGGAUGGACUCGCGGCUUAUCCGCUUGUUGGUGGGGUAGUGGCUUACCAAGGCUUUGACGGGUAGCCGGCCUGAGAGGGUGACCGGCCACAUUGGGACUGAGAUACGGCCCAGACUCCUACGGGAGGCAGCAGUGGGGAAUAUUGCACAAUGGGCGGAAGCCUGAUGCAGCAACGCCGCGUGCGGGAUGACGGCCUUCGGGUUGUAAACCGCUUUCGCCUGUGACGAAGCGUGAGUGACGGUAAUGGGUAAAGAAGCACCGGCUAACUACGUG